UCUUAUGAAUUUCUUCUUCUGUCAAUUCGCUCCUCUGGCUCACAGGCCAGCUGUCAGCCCCUUCCACAAGGCAUUCCCCCAAACUUGAGGAGAAUUUUUAACAGCAGAAAGAGGGAGGACUCCUAGAGAGUGAUUCAUCUUGGGAUACUUAUUAUCAGGAGACAGCAUUGGGAAGGUGUUGCUGUUGCCUCCUUGGCCUAUGCCUACCUUUGGAGGGGCAGAAUGCUGGGAGAUGGAAGGUCUGUUUCUUUUCCCUGGACACUG